rnacentral:rRNA from 1 species
CAGCCUAUACAUGCAGUUCGAGCGGACUUGAAGAAGAAGCUUGCUUUCUCUGAUGGUUAGCGGCGGACGGGUGAGUAACACGUAGGCAACCUUGCCCUCAAGUUUGGGACAACUACCGGAAACGGUAGCUAAUACCGAAUAGUUGUUUUCUUCUCCUGAAGAGAACUGGAAAGACGGAGCAAUCUGUCACUUGGGGAUGGGCCUGCGGCGCAUUAGCUAGUUGGUGGGGUAACGGCUCACCAAGGCGACGAAUCGUAACCCGACCUGAGAGGGUGAUCGGCCACACUGGGACUGAGACACGGCCCAGACUCCUACGGGAGGCAGCAGUAGGGAAUCUUCCGCAAUGGGCGAAAGCCUGACGGAGCAAUGCCGCGUGAGUGAUGAAGGUUUUCGGAUCGUAAAGCUCUGUUGCCAGGGAAGAACGCUUGGGAGAGUAACUGCUCUCAAGGUGACGGUACCUGAGAAGAAAGCCCCGGCUAACUACGUGCCAGCAGCCGCGGUAAUACGUAGGGGGCAAGCGUUGUCCGGAAUUAUUGGGCGUAAAGCGCGCGCAGGCGGUCAUUUAAGUCUGGUGUUUAAUCCCGGGGCU